UGCGCCGAGCUUUAAUUAUGAAAACAUCUUAGCGGAAGUGACGUCGAUAUCCUUUAGCUGCAGUUUUGUUUUAGCUGGCUAGUACUAGCUACUAAACUUCAUCAUCAUAAAUCUAUCAUCUUCAACAAAUGGACUGUUGCGUUGUAUCCGCACUGUGUUGUUUUAUAUCACUUUAUUUCCUUAUUCACUUGCUGUGUUUUAUUUUCGCGGAUGCAGACUUCACUCUGCUGUGGGCAAGUCUGUUAGGACACAGGCCAGAGAAGAAGCUGAAAGGGCUGGUGGUGUGGGUCACUGGAGCCUCCAGUGGUAUUGGAGAGGAGCUGGCCCACCAGCUAGCAAGGUGUGGGUCACGUCUCAUCCUGUCUGCUCGACGCGAGGAUGAGCUCAAUAGGGUGAAACGUUGCUGUUUAGAGGGCUCCGGCCUCCAGGAUGAAGAUAUUCGUGUUCUUCCACUUGAUUUGUUGGAUAGGACAUCGCACGAGGAAAAAACAAAAGCAGCGAUUCAAUACUUUGGACAUAUUGAUGUCUUAAUUAACAAUGGCGGCCGAAGCCAGCGCUCUCUGUGCUUAGAGACCAGUGUUGAUGUGUAUCAGGCCUUGAUGGAGCUCAACUUCCUGGGUACGGUCUCCAUCUCUAAGCAGGUGCUGCCUCACAUGACUCAGCGAGGCACUGGGAGCAUUGUGACUGUCAGCAGCGUAGUUGGCCUUGCUGGGGCACCCCUGGCAACGGGAUACUCUGCCAGCAAACAUGCGCUUCAGGGCUUCUUUAAUUCCCUUCGGACUGAGAUGACUGACUUUCCAAACAUACUCAUCAGCACAGUGUGUCCAGGGCCGGUGCAGUCACAGAUUGUCCAAAAUGCCUUCACAGAGGAAUUGAACAAGCCUGUGGCAGCAGCUGGUAACCAGGAGCACAAGAUGCCAACAAGUCGCUGUGUGCGUUUAAUGCUGGUGGGAAUUUCCAAUGGUGUCAAGGAAAUGUGGAUUGCACAGCAGCCCUUUCUCCUGUUUUACUACGCCUGGCAGUACGCUCCAACAUUUGCCUGGUUCAUAACAAACAUGUUGGGCCGAAAAAGGGUGCAGAAUUUCAAAGCUGGCCUGGUAUGUACAGUAUAUCAUUUCCUUUUAGGAAAUCUAUGCGUAUAAAGUCAAUGUCAACUAAGGCUUAGGGUAUAUUUAUCAUAAGGGCGGUCUACCUAAAAUCAAAUAUUUCACCCUAGCAAGGGGUUAUGUGAUGGACUAUUUCUUGGUUCCAAGCAGUUGCCCAGCAAACAGGGUAGAAUACGAGAAGUUCCAGUUGUAACUAUUGUUUCAAAGUUGGAGGUAGAUAUACUGGAGAUUUACUAGGUCACUAAAUGUAUUGAGCUAAAAUGAGUGGAAACACCUGUUUGGGUGUAUCUUGGGUGUA